rnacentral:tRNA from 1 species
GUGGGCGUAGCUCAGUUGGUAGAGCCCUGGAUUGUGAUUCCAGUUGUCGUGGGUUCGAGCCCCAUCGUCCACCCCA